ACUUUUACUAACCCUGUUAACCCUGCUUGGUUGGAGGCCCUCCAGGAUCACAAGGCUCUGGCCCGCUCCAGAGGCCUGGACUCAACACUCCAGGUACCGAUGAAGUGACUUGUCAUUAUGACAAAUUGUGAUAUGGUCCACUUUCUAGGAAUGCAACCAUCCCUCUUUAAUGCAGAGCGCACUUCUGAGGACUUUAACAAAGAUCCACCUGGGAAUUUGAAAGCUUGGCAGAAUAAUGUGGCUGAUGUGAAGCUCCCACCUGACAUUGUGACAAAAGAACUGAUGGUGUCUGACUUGCUGAGUUCCUGCAGCAUUUUGUGUACAAUGAUCAAGAUUUCCAGCAUCUGCAGAAUCUCUUGCAUUUGUCAUCAUUUGAAUCUGCUUUUCAUGGUCUGACAUUUUAAGCUUUCUAAGCUGAGCAUAAGCAUGAAAGAAGAAAAAGAACAGCUCUACCAGGUAACAAGGUAACAAAAUAAUGGUUGGGUCAGAAAAAAGAACUAAUUCAUUCAGUGGAACUUUUAAAUUUGUCAUCGUGUCCCUUCUAGAACUAAGUUGCUCUGAAUCACAUUUCAUCAACUCCUUUUGUAAGAUUAACAAAUAAUGAGAAAAGCACAUGGAAAAGCAAGAAAAAACACAAUAAAUCUGUUUUUUGGAAGAUAAACUUUUCCUUUUAUAUUUUUGUGUUAUAAAAAAUAAUCUAAAAAUAUAUUACUCUAAUAAAUAAUUUGUAAUCAGUAAAACGAUAUGUUUGAUUGAAAUACAAAGCAUGGAUCUGAAAAACAAAUUACCAGAAAUAUGUUUGCACUGAUACCACGCUUUGGUCCCCUAAGUAAUUGAAAUUUACUUGGAAAUAAAAUGUUAAAAGGAGAAAUGUGAAAAGUAUGAAGUAUUAUACAAAUGUGUUACCAUGUCCAGGGGUUGACAUAGUAAUACAUGGAAGAGCACAGACUUGCAUAGCAGCAUACAAUGACAUACAGAUUUACUGGCCUCUCCUUUGUGGGUGCAUCACCUGUUGACAGCUAAAGCUGUACAUGCAGAAACAGGCCUACAUAAUAUUUACAAUGCCUGCUACAGCAUUAGUUAUAAAGUAACUGGCUAGGGCCUAUGGAGUCUAGUACAAAGAUUUUGCCUCAGAUGGGCCUUCUUUGAAGAAUAUGCUUUCCUGGUUUUUCCCAUGGGCUUUUCAAUGACCUAUUACCAGAAAUGACUGCUAACUACGUCCUCAAUCUUUCACUUGUCAGACUGACUUCCUUCCAAUCUCCAAAUGCUAAACCCUCUAACUAAUAUGCCAGCUCAACCCUUCUUUUAAUUUAUAGACUCAUCCACAGUAAGUAAUGAUGGAAAGAUCUAUUGCUAGUGGAAGAUCUAUUGACAAUGGCAUGCCUAAAUCGUGCUAUUCAAUUUUCAAGCACUAAUCUUGCCCAAAGCAUAACUUUCAACUUCAAAAAUCAUUGACAAGAGCUAACAAUCAGCUGGUGGACAGGACAAAAAAAUUCUGCUUUGAUCUUUCACAGCUAGUUUAAAAAAGG